UAUAAUGCAAGUCGAGCGAAUCUGAGGGAGCUUGCUCCCAAAGAUUAGCGGCGGACGGGUGAGUAACACGUGGGCAACCUGCCUGUAAGACUGGGAUAACUCCGGGAAACCGGGGCUAAUACCGGAUAAUAUCUAUUUAUACAUAUAAUUAGAUUGAAAGAUGGUUCUGCUAUCACUUACAGAUGGGCCCGCGGCGCAUUAGCUAGUUGGUGAGGUAACGGCUCACCAAGGCGACGAUGCGUAGCCGACCUGAGAGGGUGAUCGGCCACACUGGGACUGAGACACGGCCCAGACUCCUACGGGAGGCAGCAGUAGGGAAUCUUCCGCAAUGGACGAAAGUCUGACGGAGCAACGCCGCGUGAGUGAUGAAGGUUUUCGGAUCGUAAAACUCUGUUGUUAGGGAAGAACAAGUAUCGGAGUAACUGCCGGUACCUUGACGGUACCUAACCAGAAAGCCACGGCUAACUACGUGCCAGCAGCCGCGGUAAUACGUAGGUGGCAAGCGUUGUCCGGAAUUAUUGGGCGUAAAGCGCGCGCAGGCGGUUCCUUAAGUCUGAUGUGAAAGCCCACGGCUCAACCGUGGAGGGUCAUUGGAAACUGGGGAACUUGAGUGCAGAAGAGGAAAGUGGAAUUCCAAGUGUAGCGGUGAAAUGCGUAGAGAUUUGGAGGAACACCAGUGGCGAAGGCGACUUUCUGGUCUGUAACUGACGCUGAGGCGCGAAAGCGU
rnacentral:rRNA from 2 species